rnacentral:rRNA from 1 species
UACAGAGGUCCCAAGCGUUGUUCGGAUUCACUGGGCGUAAAGGGUGCGUAGGCGGUUGGGUAAGUCUGAUGUGAAAUCUCACAGCUUAACUGUGAAACUGCAUUGGAUACUAUCCGGCUAGAGGAAUGGAGGGGAGACUGGAAUACUUGGUGUAGCAGUGAAAUGCGUAGAUAUCAAGUGGAACACCAGUGGCGAAGGCGAGUCUCUGGACAUUUCCUGACGCUGAGGCACGAAGGCCAGGGGAGCAAACGGG